rnacentral:rRNA from 1 species
UCGGGAAUUUUGGGCAAUGGGCGAAAGCCUGACCCAGCAACGCCGCGUGAGGGAUGAAGUAUUUCGGUAUGUAAACCUCGAAAGAAUGGGAAGAAUAAAUGACGGUACCAUUUAUAAGCUCCGGCUAACUACGUGCCAGCAGCCGCGGUAAUACGUAGGGAGCAAGCGUUGUUCGGAUUUACUGGGCGUAAAGGGCGCGUAGGCAGCGCGGUAAGUCACUUGUGAAAUCUCUGAGCUUAACUCAGAACGGCCAAGUGAUACUGCUGUGCUAGAGGGCGGAAGAGGCAACCGGAAUUCUUGGCGUAGCGGUGAAAUGCGUAGAUAUCAAGAGGAACACCUGAGGCGAAGGCGGGUUGCUGGGCCGACACUGACGCUGAUGCGCGAAAGCCAGGGGAGCAAACG